rnacentral:rRNA from 1 species
GACGAACGCUGGCGGCGUGCUUAACACAUGCAAGUCGAACGGAAAGGCCCUGCUUUUGUGGGGUGCUCGAGUGGCGAACGGGUGAGUAACACGUGAGUAACCUGCCCUUGACUUUGGGAUAACUUCAGGAAACUGGGGCUAAUACCGGAUAGGAGCUCCUGCUGCAUGGUGGGGGUUGGAAAGUUUCGGCGGUUGGGGAUGGACUCGCGGCUUAUCAGCUUGUUGGUGGGGUAGUGGCUUACCAAGGCUUUGACGGGUAGCCGGCCUGGGAGGGUGACCGGCCACCAUGGGACUGAGAUACGGCCCAGACUCCUACGGGAGGCAGCAGUGGGGAAUAUUGCACAAUGGGCGGAAGCCUGAGGCAGCAACGCCGCGUGCGGGAUGACGGCCUUCGGGGUGUAAACCGCUUUCGCCUGUGACGAAGCGUGAGUGACGGUAAUGGGUAAAGAAGCACCGGCUAACUACGUG